rnacentral:rRNA from 1 species
GACGAACCGUGCGAACGUUAUUCGGAAUCACUGGGCUUAAAGCGCGUGUAGGCGGGUCGGCACGUCCGACGCUGAAAUCCCCCGGCUCAACCGGGGAAGGGGCGCGGAUACGACCGUCCUGGAGGGGGGUAGGGGGCGCUGGAACUUCCGGUGGAGCGGUGAAAUGCGUUGAGAUCGGAAGGAACGCCCGUGGCGAAAGCGAGCGCCUGGACCCCGCCUGACGCUGAGACGCGAAAGCUAGGGGAGCGAACGGG